rnacentral:lncRNA from 1 species
GUUAUUCUUUCUUUGGAACAGUUUUCCCUGUUGGUUAAGUGUGCCACGCUGUGGCUUAGAAGCAGGACCAGCAUCUACUGAGAGCUCCUUGGGAUAAACACACACACACACACACACACCGGGGUUGGUUUGCAAAUACCUGCCUGUCGGACCAAAUUGGGGAGGGGAAGAAUUCUGGCAAGGAUGGUCUUCCCCUACGGUAGAGAAAGGCAGUCUUUUGGGCAGUGCCAACAGGUCUUGUAAUGCCGAGGCCCACAUUAAAUGGAGGCUGUGUUGCCACCUGGGACACAGGGCGAGGUGGUGACCCAACGGCUUUAAGAAGAAGAAUCCUGGCUUAAACACACAGAGAAGAUUAUCUCUUGGCAAUAAUAAUUAGUAGGUGGAGGGAAGGGUUGGGCUGCCCUUUGCGUAGAAGUUGUAGGACGCAAAUAUCUUAGGGAGGUUGGGUUGGCCGACAUGGAGGACUUUGUGGAGGCCGAUGGGAUGAGACACAGGGAUCGGGGUUAGGGAAAGAAAGAUGAUGGAUCGAGAUUCGAGAGGAGAAGGAGGGAGGGCCCAUCUUGAUUCCAUCCUUUUACGCCAUGGGGGAACUCCUGCAGCCCCAAGUCUUCCAGUGAGGUCUUCUCUUCGACCACCCACCCCUGAUGCAGAGGAGCCUGGUUUUUGUGUGUGUCCGUGUGUGUGUGUGGAACCAUGGCAGAGGGAGGGAGAGCAUUGCUUUACUGGGGUCCUCCUUCCUUCCCAAAAGGCCAACCCAGCAUUUCUACCCACCCACCCACAAUAUUGCCAAGAACGUUGAGGUUCCUCAGAAAUUUGGUGGGGGGUUCGUUCAUGAGAAAAAGCCAGGAAAACAAGCGCUUCUUGAGAGACCCAUGUGCUUGGCUUUCCCGUGGAAAGUCUGGGUUCAGGCUGGAAGCGCUUCUCGAGAGACCCGUGUGCUUGGCUUUCCCGGUCUUCCCGUGGAAAGUCUGGGUUCAGGCUGGGCCCCCAUGAGCCCUUUGGGCUGGCUCUGGGCCAGGGAGAGGUGUGGCAGGCGUACCUGUGACUUCAGGUGCAUCCUGCAACGCCCCCCCCCCCGUUGGUCAUCAGAGGGAGGCUCAUGCCUGGGUUCUUCAGCAGGCUGCGAGAGACCCGUGUGCUUGGCUUUCCCGGUCUUCCCGUGGAAAGUCUGGGUUCAGGCUGGGCCCCCAUGA